GAUGAACGCUGGCGGCGUGCCUAACACAUGCAAGUCGAACGGAAAGGCCCAGCUUGCUGGGUGCUCGAGUGGCGAACGGGUGAGUAACACGUGGGUGAUUUGCCCUUAACUUUGGGAUAAGCUUGGGAAACUGGGUCUAUUCCCGGAUAGGACAAACGUCUAGCGUGGGUGGUGGAAAGAUCUUGCGGUUUGGGAUGAGCCAGCGGCCUAUUAGCUUGUUGGUGGGGUAAUGGCCUACCAAGGCGUCGACGGGUAGCCGGCCUGGGAGGGUGGACGGGCACAUUAGGACUAAGGGACGGCGCAGACUCGAACGGUAGGCAACGGUGGGGAGUAUUACACAGUGAGCGCAAGCCUGAUACAGCGACGCCGCGUGUGUGAAGACGGCCUUCGGGUUGUAAACCGCAGUCGGCAGGUACGAAGCUUUGGUGACGGUACCUAAAGAAGAAGCACCGGCUAACUACGUG
rnacentral:rRNA from 1 species